rnacentral:pre_miRNA from 1 species
AGUGGAAUUGCUGGGUCAUCUGGUGAGUGUUUGCUUUACUGUAUAAAGAACUUCCACACUGUUUUCGAGAGUGGCUGUACCAUUUUGCAUUCCCACCAGCAAU